UGCCAUUUGAGGCGCUCGAGGAGGACUCGCCGUCCCCCGACGCCGUUGCUCCCCUGGACCCCGUCGCGCUCCGGGACAGGCCGACGCUCACCCCCGACUUCUCUCGCCUCGUCUUCUCCAUGGAGCUCCCCUGCCGACGGCCCACGCCGGAGCUUUGGGCCGACCUCCCCUCCGGCAGCACGCGCCGCCCGAACCCAGUUGGCGCGUCGGCAAUUUCAAUAUUGCGCUCUCACAGUCCGGCUCUGCUCGUGCCAAGCUCUAGGUAUACGUUCUAAUCCUCUUUGCAAAUCUUAGGCUGAAAUUGGAUGUGAUUUGCUUAAUUCCAGUAGUAGUUUCUGAGAAAUAUAUAUUUCAUAGCACGAGCACGUAGUAUGAGAGAUUAUUAGAGCAGUAGUUGUACCUACUACGACAUGUAUUUUGCCGUUGAUUGUACAAGUUCACAUGUACAUCUCUGAAUAAAGAAAAACCUUAUUGCUGAUGUUAUAGAACAGAGGUGGUGUUGUUCGACUUCCAUUAUGCAGUACCAUUUCUUGCAAAAUACUUCCAAUUAGAAUAGUUGUCGUUCAGUAUUUGCCUACCUCUAAUACCAUUCCUCACAAAAUACAUACACCUUUUUUAGUGUCUGAAUUUUAUUAUCUGUUGGUGAUCAGUUUUUCGUACUCCAGCUCUUGGAUGUGCUAUCCUCCCUUCUCACUCUCGGGCUCCAGCAGCAAAUGGACGAAAAGCAUCACGAAGCAGCUCAGCUCCAUCUUCUAUAGUUAUUUCUUGAAUCUGUGAUAUACUAUAUAAUGCAUUCUGUAGAAAACAGAAUGAUGUUCAUUGGAGCCUCUCUCUUGCUAUGUUUCUUCCAUUUGUUUCUGCUCUAAGAAAACUCCAUACUUGGAAAAUGUCUCUUCAUGACUUCUUCGAAGUUUUUUCUGUAGUUUUCAGUCUUGGGUGCGUGCAGUUUCUUCAUGUCACAUCUGAAAUUUGGGCCCAUGUAUGUACAUUGUAAUUAGCAGGGCCUUCCCUGUUUGUGAUACUAAAUGAGGUACCUCUAUAUAUAGGUUUGCACCGUGUCAUUUUUUCCUGUCAUUAAUUGAUCUUCAUACCAAGAAAAUCCUGUUGGAGGGAUAUCGUGCAUACUCUGGUUUUCAGUGCUUUUUAUGAGAAGAGGGUUUUCAAGUAAUUAUUUUUAUCUUUGAUCUGAACAACAAUAAUACUUUAGGAUUGAUCAACACCUGUGUAAUAUGUAGCCUGAGUUGUGGCUCAUGGUAGUACACCACAUGGUUGAGUACCUGAGAUGGAAAGCCAAUCAUUAAGAUUUUUUUUCUGUAGACAAUUACUAAGUAUUUUGAACAUAUUUUUCCUGCCAUCUAUUUUUUUUGAAAUUGGUUGCUUGAUUAGAAAU
rnacentral:lncRNA from 1 species